AAGCCCGUGGUUAGGACAUCACCUGAUAAAGCCUUGCAUCUCUCCCAAGCAUCAUACAAGCUCUCGUAUUCACGCUGAACAAAAUUGAAGAUCUCAUCUCGAAUCGC
rnacentral:snoRNA from 1 species